CAAUGAAGGAAGCAUGAUAUGUGCACAUAAAUUGAAUUGGGUCUCUAGGCCUGCCCUUUUUGAUGCCAUUCGGCUUUGAUUUGAGGGUAUGAUUCCGCAGCAAAACA